UGGGAACGGGAAGAGGGCGGGGCGUCUUUACGGGGUCACGCGAGGGACAAGCGGCUCUGCGGGUUCUCAGCUCCGGGUUUCAGAGACCUGUUGGCUGCUCCGCCGCUCGCCUCUUAUCCUCGAUUCUGGGAGUUGAUCCCAGGGGUGCUCCACCACUGAGCUACAUCCCUUUUUAUAUUUUAUUUUUAAACAGGGUAUCGCUAGGUUGCCCAGGCUGGCCUCUAGUUUGCUAUCCUCUGCCUCAGCCUCGGGAUUGCAGGAGCCGCUGCCUAGCUAAGAGCUAGGCUUUGACGUACUGGUUACUCGGACCAGGAAAUAACUGACAAUUAUCGCAAACGGGCUGAGAAGGGACCCGGCGAUGCUGGACACUGCGAGCCGGUUGGGAGCUGGAACGCGGAGGCCACGGCCCAGUUGUCGGAGGGCACUGACAGCUGAGGUUGAGCCCCGCACCAGUUUUCCUCCGGGAUGUCCGGCUGGGCGGGCGCUCCGGUGCCCAGGCUAGCUCUCUCUAUCCCGACAGUGUUCUCGGUGUUUCAGAAUCUUCCAGUGUUGAACCUGCCUCCCCCGCAGAAUCGGACCUGGGAUUGACCUGCCGGAUCCCAAGAGCUGGGACCAGCAGGCACUUAAUGUUUAAUGUUAAACAUUUAAUGUUAAAUGUUUCUCAGGUGGAUAAGGGGCACUGAAAUCGACCCUCCAUGGAGUGGGGAGAGUGAAAGCCCUGCUGAUGGGGAGGUCAAUGAGAAGUGCACAUUCACGUGUGCAUUUCAAAAGAUGAGCCAUGAUUGAAUAGAGAGGGGCCCGUGCAGACCUCUCAGACCACGAAGCGGAACCAAUAAACUCUGCUCCAGAAGAUGACGAGCUUUCAGGGUCAAUGGCUCAGCCACACCUCCCUGCCUUUGUUUAAACUGAUCUCUUCACCAAAUGGAAGGUCCAUUCUGUUCAGGUGAGGAUUCCUUGGCUUCUUCAGUUAUAGUUCUGAAUCAUUAAACACCAUAUCCCUGAAUGCCUCUUUUCUGUUCCCCAAAAUCUAACCAAAUUAAGGGAACAAUGAGAGCAAGCCUGAGCUGGAAAGUCCAGGCACACUAGGACAGUUGCUCCUUGGGAUACUGGCCAUACAAGCAAGCUAAUGCUGAUGAUGUCACUGCUUUUUCAGUCGAACAUAUAAGACCCCUUUCUGAAUGGGGAUAGGCAUGGAACUGAGGGCACUGUGGAAGGGAUGUAUGUCCUUGUCCAGCUAGCUGCCAAUGGACAAAAUGCUCUGAGAGUCAAGGAGGCACUGUUUGGCAAAGCACCUUGAGGGACAGAGGGACAAAGGUGCUAUCUGUUUGGCUUGUCCAUACUUAACUCUUGUUGGUGCAGUCACUGAUCUGCUGUAAGCUUUCCCCUGGAAAUCAUAUGUCUCAUUUGCUGUCUCGGA